UACGUAGGGGGCAAGCGUUGUCCGGAUUUAUUGGGCGUGAAGAGCGUGUAGGCGGCUUGACAAGUCCGCUGUGAAAACUCGAGGCUCAAUCUCGAGACGUCGGUGGAAACUGUCUCGCUAGAGUCCGGAGGAGGAGAGUGGAAUUCCUGGUGUAGCGGUGAAAUGCGUAGAGAUGUGGAGGAACACCAGUGGCGAAGGCGACUUUCUGGGCUGUAACUGACGCUGAGGCGCGAAAGCGUGGGGAGCAAACAGG
rnacentral:rRNA from 1 species